GUCGAGAAUCUUUCACAAUGGGGGCAACCCUGAUGGAGCGACGCCGCGUGGAGGAUAAGGUCUUCGGAUUGUAAACUCCUGUCAUGCGUGAACAAGGUUGCUUGGUUAAUACCUGGGCAAAUUGAUGGUAACGCAAGAGGAAGAGACGGCUAACUCUGUGCCAGCAGCCGCGGUAAUACAGAGGUCUCAAGCGUUGUUCGGAAUCACUGGGCGUAAAGGGUGCGUAGGUGGCGUGGUAAGUCAGAUGUGAAAGCCCGGGGCUCAACCUCGGAACUGCAUCCGAUACUGCCAUGCUAGAGUACUGGAGAGGUGACUAGAAUUCUCGGUGUCGCAGUGAAAUGCGUAGAUAUCGAGAGGAAUACCAAAGGCGUAGGCAGGUCACUGGACAGUUACUGACACUGAGGCACGAAGGCCAGGGGAGCGAACGGGAUUAGAAACCCCUGUAGUCC
rnacentral:rRNA from 1 species